rnacentral:rRNA from 1 species
AUGGCCGAUGCCGCCACGUUUGAUGUGACAAACAAGGCGUCGAGCACGGCCGGCGACCAGCGAUUCGACAAGGAGUACAGCCCCACCUACGUCAUGCAGGUCAUGUCCGACGCGUCCUCCUUCACCUAGGGCAUCUUCAACCAGCCGUACCCCUCCGACCGCAGGCACGCCGAGGUCAACACCGUCACCCUCGCCGUCCGUGACACAGACGACAUCGCCUCCACCAGCGGUAGCACGGUCGAGCUCAACGUCCACUUCGUCGGUGGCAUUACCGGUGACGACCUCAUGGACCAGGUGACCGGGGUUUUGUACCAUGAGGUGGCGCAUGUGUGGCAGUGGGGGCUGUAGGACUACAACAUGCAUUCGAGGGUCUUCGAGGGCAUCGCGGACUAUGUGCGGCUCAAGGCCGGGAACGUGCCAGGGCACUGGGUGAACGAGGGCGGCGGCGACCGGUGGGAUCAAGGGUAUGAUGUGACAGCCAGGUUCUUCGAUUCCGUGGUCGUGCCCGCACCGGCAGAGUUCUUGCCGUCGCAUGCUCACCGGCAGUUGAGCGCCCGCGUCAGCCAUGCCCUUGCUCGUAGCUCGAAGCUGCGAGGGACAACCGAGCACCCGCGCCAGCCGUGUCCUUGCUCGCGGCUCGAAGCUUUGAGGGAUAGCCGACCAUGGCCAAUCGCGGACGGAACCGCUGGCCUCACGGGCGAUGGUGGCGAAGGAGCUCGCGAGGGGUGGCGGCUUGCGGCGGGGGCGUCAGCUGGGGACGGCGAUGGCCCUAUGACCGUGGCGGGAGCUGAAACUUCCCUCUCACCAACCAUUUUUCAUUUUGCAGGCCCGUGUAAAAAUGGGCUCCAAUCCUGGUUAUUUAUUGGAUGA